rnacentral:rRNA from 1 species
GAUGAACGCUGGCGGCGUGCCUAAUACAUGCAAGUCGAGCGAACAGACGAGGAGCUUGCUCCUCUGACGUUAGCGGCGGACGGGUGAGUAACACGUGGAUAACCUACCUAUAAGACUGGGAUAACUUAGGGAAACCGGAGCUAAUACCGGAUAAUAUAUUGAACCGCAUGGUUCAAUAGUGAAAGACGGUUUUGCUGUCACUUAUAGAUGGAUCCGCGCCGCAUUAGCUAGUUGGUAAGGUAACGGCUUACCAAGGCAACGAUGCGUAGCCGACCUGAGAGGGUGAUCGGCCACACUGGAACUGAGACACGGUCCAGACUCCUACGGGAGGCAGCAGUAGGGAAUCUUCCGCAAUGGGCGAAGGCCUGACGGGGCAACGCCGCGUGAGUGAUGAAGGUCUUCGGAUCGUAAAACUCUGUUAUUAGGGAAGAACAAAUGUGUAAGUAACUAUGCACGUCUUGACGGUACCUAAUCAGUAAGCCACGGCUAACUACGUG